AUUGAAACGUUCAACAAUGCCGAGAUCAAUAUUGUACUCUAUUUCUUGUGCUUCAAAUCCUACAACAUUGUCUACAUGGACUGGAUUACAGUGCUUAGCGCAGUCAACUAUUUUGGGUUUAUAUACAUGAUCAUCUGGUCGGUCAUGUAUAAUAGCUAUCGUUCAUAGCUCCGCUUCCCGCCCGAGGAUCGGCCAGCAGGGCCAACAACUAUAAAACAAGCCACAGUUUGAAGCAGCGGAUAAACAAUUAAAAAAUCUUUCGGAAUAUUUUAAAGAAUUUGAUUUGUGUCCUUUAACAUUGACAAAAAGCUGCUAUCAAAAUGCGCUACCGAUUAAUAAUACUAUUUAACUUCAUAUCGAAUGAAAACGUGCUAGCAGCUGUGUGGAUAUAGAGAACGUUUGCGCAUUACGAAGCCCAAGUGCCUGUAGAGCGAAAGGACAGAUAUCUUUAACUUAGACUGGAAUAGCCCCACAUCACGUUGCUCGCUGUAAUACAAGGUGAUUUUGGGACAACAGAUUUACUAAUUUAAUGUCGGAUAUUUUGAAGCAACUUUAUCUGAUCGCAUUUGUUGCACAUCUUUCAAUGAUCUCCGUGUAAUAACGUGAUCACAAUUCUAUUGUGCAGUCUGAAGCAGGCAGUUUGCUUUAUCUCUCCCGCCUGCCAUAACCAUCUUCCGGCGGGCUGUGAACUACGUUGGGCAUCCUGUGUGGACGACUCUGCUGCUGCCAUGCCUUCCAGAUUGCUGGUAUUCACAGCAAGAUUGACAAAUAAAGGACUACAAUGAAUUCUAAGGACCUCCACGAGGGACAAAGCUAAUUUUUCCAGGAUUUUAAGUUCAAAAAAGCUAGAAUUUUAAUGUAUGCUCGUUUUGUACACUUUUAAGACAAAUAAUUAAGAAAAUUAGCAUAAAA